UGUUCUUAUCAGUUUAAUAUCUGAUAUGUGGGCCAUGUGUCCACAACGAUAUUAAAUUUAUUUUUCCUGGGGGAGGGCCCACCACAGUAGCUUGCUGCUGGGGUCCUCGUGUGUCGCCCAGCCGUUGCACUGCUGGCUGGGCCUGGCGCGCCCCAA
rnacentral:snRNA from 1 species